CCCUACCGUUGAUAUGUACCUUGUCGUGGUGGUAGGGCAGCUAACUAAGCAUCAGACUGAAUGAACAACAUACAUUUUUCAUCAAAGACGCAGAAAAUGCUGAUAAGAUGCAAUGGUUAGGCCAAACAUAU
rnacentral:ribozyme from 1 species